GCGAGUUUGAGACUGUUUAUGUAUUCAUGACUAAAACCAAAUCUGAGAUCUUUGGAACUCUUAGCUGGCCCUGGGGCAUGCGAGCCGCCUGUGCAUCCCUUUGGUCCACCUGGAGGCCCGUGAAGACCUUCAGUGGAAGGAAGAGUGGGUCAGAUGAGACGUGUCCAUUUCAUCAGUCAGCCAUCGGUGACAGGCUGAAUUCAGAGACCCAGGCCAGAGUGUACCAGCUACAAAAUUUAUCCAAGGAUUCCAAUUAUGCUUUAAAAAAUUCUACCAGAAGAAGUAAAAAACGAUG
rnacentral:lncRNA from 1 species